CCGUGCAUUUAUUCGCCUAGAAAACCAACACGUCUCGGGUUACGCCUGUCAGUAUUUAUAGUCCCUCUAUUCCCUCAAAAGAAUAUGCUCUAUAAAUGCCCAGGAUUUACGAUCCAGACGUUCACGGUGAUUCUGAAUAACUGAUGCUGAUCGUACAGGGCCUAUGUGCCUACGAUAUUUCAAUCAAAUUUCUGCCCUAUCAUAUUUGUUGGUAGGGUAGCGGCCUACCAAGGUGACGACGGGUAACGGGGAAUCAGGGUUCGAUUCCGGAGAGGGAGCCUGAGAAACGGCUACCACAUCCAAGGAUGGCAGCAGGCGCGCAAACUAUCCAAUCCAGACAAUGGGAGAUGGUGACGAGGUAUAUUGGAACUCACCGGCUAUGCCGGUCGAGUUACCAGAUAGACCCUAAUUUAAACCAAUAGCGGGUUAUUCAACGGGAGGGCAAGUCUGGUGCCAGCAGCCGCGGUAAUACCAGCUCCCGUAGUGUAUACGUUAGUUGUUGCGGUUAAAAAGCUCGUAGUUGAAAUACGGCGCGCUCGAAAGAACGUUCAGGAGUGUGGCUCCCAAAAGUGUAGUUUGUAGAGACUUAGAAUUGCGCUCCUUUACAUAUAAGUGUUUUGGUAUGUUGCUCCAAUCAUCUAGUUUGUUCUUGUAAUAAAUUAGUUGAGUAAAGCCUCAUAUUGCUGCAUAUUAUAUGUGAUUGAGAGUUGUCCUUCGUCUCUCUUAUACUCCUGAAAGAUCAUUAGAGCGUGCUUUCUCGUUGGGCCCGCCCGAUCUCCUUCAGUGGUGACGGGGGAAGUCCAGCGAAUUGUGCCUUGAGUAAAAUAGAGUGCUCCAAGCAGGCUGUGAUUAAUUUCAUCGCCCGCAUACUCCAGCAUGGAACGAAUGUUCAAUUGCUUAAACCACCCCGCUGGCCUAGUUUGUUGGUUCAACACCGUAUAACACUUGUGUUAUUCGGCUAGGUCGUGUCCGCAGGAAAGUGUACCCGGAGAACCGUCUAUAGUCAUUCGGUGGUACAUCUCCAGCUGGGAAUCAUGUCCUUCUGUGUGGGCCGUUGAAUGUUUGAAUCUGCUUCACACCAACAAUCUCCAUCUUUAAUGCUUGAUGUGUUUAUAUUCACUCUGUGCUUAUAUUCACCUCUCAGCAUCUUAAAUUUGUGUGUAUUGCCUUGGCUGUGUAAUCUUAUUCUCAUUCAUGGCCACAAAAACACACACCUGGGCACCCAGUAUUUGGUAGAUACCACUCGGCUAUAAAUGUGUGCUAUUUGAACUUUCUUUUCAUACCCUUGAUCGGUGUAUGUGAUUGACUGUUUUCAUCUAACAAUUUUGUCACCGGGAGCAAUGCACUC
rnacentral:rRNA from 1 species